GACGAACGCUGGCGGCGUGCCUAAUACAUGCAAGUAGAACGCUGAAGGAGGAGCUUGCUCUUCUGGAUGAGUUGCGAACGGGUGAGUAACGCGUAGGUAACCUGCCUGGUAGCGGGGGAUAACUAUUGGAAACGAUAGCUAAUACCGCAUAAGAGUAGAUGUUGCAUGACAUUUACUUAAAAGGUGCAAUUGCAUCACUACCAGAUGGACCUGCGUUGUAUUAGCUAGUUGGUGGGGUAACGGCUUACCAAGGCGACGAUACAUAGCCGACCUGAGAGGGUGAUCGGCCACACUGGGACUGAGACACGGCCCAGACUCCUACGGGAGGCAGCAGUAGGGAAUCUUCGGCAAUGGACGGAAGUCUGACCGAGCAACGCCGCGUGAGUGAAGAAGGUUGUCGGAUCGUAAAGCUCUGUUGUAAGAGAAGAACGAGUGUGAGAGUGGAAAGUUCACACUGUGACGGUAUCUGACCAGAAAGGGACGGCUAACUACGUG
rnacentral:rRNA from 1 species